rnacentral:rRNA from 1 species
UACAGAGGUCUCAAGCGUUGUUCGGAUUCAUUGGGCGUAAAGGGCGCGUAGGCGGCGGGGUAAGUCGGGUGUGAAAUCUCAGAGCUCAACUCUGAAACUGCACUCGAUACUGCUCUGCUUGAGGACUGGAGAGGAGACUGGAAAUUCACGGUGUAGCGGUGAAAUGCGUAGAUAUCGUAAGGAAGACCAGUGGCGAAGGCGGGUCUCGUGGACAGUUCCUGACGCUGAGGCACGAAGGCCAGGGGAGCAAACGGG